AUCGUCUUAGCUUAGCCAGUAGAGCGCAUGGCUUUUAACCAUGUGGUUGUGGGUUUGAUUCCCAUAGAUGGCG
rfam:Gossypium hirsutum cultivar TM-1 chromosome 6, whole genome shotgun sequence